CUCAAGGGAACUCAGCAGUGAUAGACAUUAAGCCAUAAGUGAAAACUUGACUUAGUCAAAGCUAAGAGGGCCGGUAAAACUCGUGCCAGCCACCGCGGUUAUACGAGAGGCCCAAGUUGACAGACAUCGGCGUAAAGAGUGGUUAAGUUAAAAUUUAUACUAAAGCCGAACAUCCUCAAGGCUGUUAUACGCACCCGAAGAUAAGAAGUUCAACCACGAAGGUGGCUUUAUUUAGUCUGAACCCACGAAAGCUACGGCGCAAACUGGGAUUAGAUACCCCACUAUGCCUAGCCCUAAACAUUGAUAGUACCCUACACCCACUAUCCGCCUGGGAACUACGAGCAUCAGCUUGAAACCCAAAGGACUUGGCGGUGCUUUAGAUCCACCUAGAGGAGCCUGUUCUAGAACCGAUAACCCCCGUUCAACCUCACCUUUCCUUGUUUUUCCCGCCUAUAUACCGCCGUCGUCAGCUUACCCUGUGAAGGUUUAAUAGUAAGCAAAACUGGUAAAACCCUAAACGUCAGGUCGAGGUGUAGCGUAUGGGAAGGGAAGAAAUGGGCUACAUUCGCUACUACAGCGAAUACGGACGAUGCACUGAAACGUUCAUCUGAAGGAGGAUUUAGCAGUAAGCAGGAAAUAGAGUGUUCCGCUGAAAUUGGCCCUGAAGCGCGCACACACCGCCCGUCACUCUCCCCAAGCCUACCAACCUAAUUAACUAAACCCUAAUAAUCGCA
rnacentral:rRNA from 1 species